rnacentral:ncRNA from 1 species
AUCGCGGCAGGUGCUCACGUUAAGCCCACUGACUUUCAUGUCCCUUUCUACUAUCUAGCGAAACCACAGCCAAGGGAACGGGCUUGGAAUAAUUAGCGGGGAAAGAAGACCCUCUUGAGCUUGACUCUAAUCGGGCAGUGUAAGGAGACAUAAGAGGUGUAGAAUAAGUGGGAGAUAUUAGACUUCGGUUUGGUAUCGACAAUGAAAUACCACUGCUCUUAUUGUUUCCUUACUUACUUGAUUAAAUGGAACGUGUAUCAUUUCCUAGCCAUUAUACGGAUAUAAUUAUUAUGUCUUAUGGUAUUGGGUUUUGAUGCAAGCUUCUUGAUCAAAGUAUCACGAGUUUGUUACAUAAUCGCAAACACAUUCUUUAAUGAGAGAAUGCAUUUAUGUAUUAUUGAUUUAAAAAUUUGGUAUAACUCCAAUUACUCAGGUAUGAUCCAAUUCAGGGGCAUUGCCAGGUAGGGAGUUUGACUGGGGCGGUACAUCUCUCAAAUAAUAACGAAGGUGUCCCAAGCUCAGUGCGGACAGAAACCACACAUAGAGCAAAAGGGAAAAUGCUGACUUGAUCUCGGUGUUCAGUACACACAGGGACAGCAAAAGCUCGGCCUAUCGUUCCUUUUGGUUUAAAGAGUUUUUAACCAAGGGGGUUCAAAAAAGUUCCCAAGGGAAUAAUGGGCUUGGGGGGCCAAGGGUUUAAAGGGACUUCGCUUUUUGUUCUUUGAAGUCGGCUCUUCCUAUCCUUGGAAGCAAAUUCCCCCAGCGUUGGAUUGUCACCCCAGCAAGGGAACGUGAGCUGGGUUAGAACCGUCGUGAGACAGGUUAGUUUACCCCUACUAAUGACAAAACGUUGUUGCGACAGCAUUCCUGCGUAGUACGAGAGGAACCGCAGGUACGGACCAAUGGCACAAUACUUGUUCGAGCGAACAGUGGUAUGACGCUACGUCCGUUGGAUUAUGCCUGAACGCCUCUAAGGUCGUAUCCGUGCUGGACUGCAAUGAUAAAUAAGGGGCAAUUUGCAUUGUAUGGCUUCUAAACCAUUAAAAGUUUUUAAUUUGUUUUAUUAACGACAAUGGAUGUGAUGCCAAUGUUAUUUAUAACAUAGUAAAUUGGAAGGAUCUUCGAUCACCUGAUGCCGCGCUAGUUAUAUUUUAAAACAUUAUUUAAUACAAUGUCAAAGCCUAGAAUCAAUUGUAAACGACUUUUGUAACAGGCAAGGUGUUGUAAGUGGUUGAGCAGCUGCCAUACUGCGAUCCACUGAAGCUUAUCCUUUGCUUGAUGAUUC